rnacentral:sRNA from 1 species
AGGAUGAGAAGCUUCGACCAAGGUUCGACUCGAGCGAAACGAGAGAACGUUGCCGCAGGCAACGGCCCGAAGGGCGAGGCGCUUUAGCGCCGAGUAAUCCUUCCCCCACCACCA